rnacentral:rRNA from 1 species
UCCUGACUGACCGAUAGUGAACCAGUACCGUGAGGGAAAGGCGAAAAGAACCCCGGCGAGGGGAGUGAAAAAGAACCUGAAACCGUGUACGUACAAGCAGUGGGAGCCUCUUAAUGGGGUGACUGCGUACCUUUUGUAUAAUGGGUCAGCGACUUAUAUUCUGUAGCAAGGUUAACCGAAUAGGGGAGCCGAAGGGAAACCGAGUCUUAACUGGGCGUUAAGUUGCAGGGUAUAGACCCGAAACCCGGUGAUCUAGCCAUGGGCAGGUUGAAGGUUGGGUAACACUAACUGGAGGACCGAACCGACUAAUGUUGAAAAAUUAGCGGAUGACUUGUGGCUGGGGGUGAAAGGCCAAUCAAACCGGGAGAUAGCUGGUUCUCCCCGAAAGCUAUUUAGGUAGCGCCUCGUGAAUUCAUCUCCGGGGGUAGAGCACUGUUUCGGCAAGGGGGUCAUCCCGACUUACCAACCCGAUGCAAACUGCGAAUACCGGAGAAUGUUAUCACGGGAGACACACGGCGGGUGCUAACGUCCGUCGUGAAGAGGGAAACAACCCAGACCGCCAGCUAAGGUCCCAAAGUCAUGGUUAAGUGGGAAACGAUGUGGGAAGGCCCAGACAGCCAGGAUGUUGGCUUAGAAGCAGCCAUCAUUUAAAGAAAGCGUAAUAGCUCACUGGUCGAGUCGGCCUGCGCGGAAGAUGUAACGGGGCUAAACCAUGCACCGAAGCUGCGGCAGCGACACUAUGUGUUGUUGGGUAGGGGAGCG